AGCAGCAUGGCGCAGUGGGAGCGCGCGGGGCUCAUAGGAUCCGCCUAACCCCGAGGUCACUCGAUCGAAACGAGUUGCUGCUA